rnacentral:rRNA from 1 species
UACGAGGGGUCCUAGCGUUGUUCGGAAUCAUUGGGCGUAAAGAGUAUGUAGGUGGCCUUGCAAGUCAGUUGUGAAAGCCCCGGGCUCAACCCGGGAAGUGCUUCUGAUACUGCUUGGCUUGAGUACUGGAGAGGGUAGUGGAAUUCCUGGUGUAGUGGUGAAAUACGUAGAUAUCAGGAGGAACAUCGGUGGCGAAGGCGGCUACCUGGCCAUGUACUGACACUGAGAUACGAAAGCGUGGGGAGCAAACAGG